AUCGCUUCUCGGCCUUUUGGCAAAGGAUCAAGUGUUAGUAUCUGUUCUUAUCAGUUUAAUAUCUGAUACGUCCCCUAUCAGGGGACCAUAUAUUAAAUUGAUUUUUGGAAUCUGGAGAUGGAGGAGGGGCUUGCUCCGUUCCACUCCACGCAGAGGGCCCGGUAUUGCAGUGCCUCCGGGAACGGUGCACACCUU